UUUGGGUCCCCCUGUAAGUACCAUGCCCUCUAAGAACAUGUUUCUGAGGUUUGUGAGACUUGAUUCACUCAUCUGGGAACUUCCCAGCCUUUGUUACAUAAGCAUCUGUGAAUUCAUCUUUGCCCGGAUGCUCAUUGCACUAUUCUUCUCAAGUCUGCACCCACCCACUUAUGCCUCCGCUUCAUCAUCACGUGACUUUUCAGUUCAGGUUCCAUUCAUUCGGAAAGAGAAGCCAUUCACCAGCACCCUACAGAGACCAGCAAAGAGCCAGGCCCCCGGGGAAUGAAAUACACUUACCCGUGUGUAUGUUUGGCUGCAGGUGAAUUUCUACAACCUAUGCCUCCCCCUGAUUCACAUUUCUUCCCUCUUGUGUGCUCCCAGCUUGCAUGCUUCCAGCAUGGAGGGGCAUAGUGCAGAUACAUCCUGAGCACCGCUGUGCCUCUUGAAAUAACUUUGAUUCUUUUCUCUCUUUUCGUCAUUUGUUGAUACCCAUACCUGAGGGUAGAAGGGGUCCACACUCAGGGACCCAGCAGCCUCACACAGCCCUGAGGACACUGCCUUGGGGAGCCAGGAGCACCUCAGCAGCUGACUUGUGCUUCCUCCCAGAGCUCAGCAGCAGGAUUCUUAGCAGGAACCACAGACCGCUGUUGACUGCUCACAAAGAGGCGAGCCGGGAAGACUUUUGCCAGGUAAACUGGCUGUCUCUGAUCAGAACACAC
rnacentral:lncRNA from 1 species